rnacentral:rRNA from 1 species
UACGUAGGGGGCAAGCGUUGUCCGGAAUCAUUGGGCGUAAAGAGCGUGUAGGCGGCUCGGUAAGUCCGCUGUGAAAGUCCAGGGCUCAACCCUGGAAUGCCGGUGGAAACUGUCGGGCUAGAGUCCGGAAGAGGCGAGUGGAAUUCCUGGUGUAGCGGUGAAAUGCGCAGAUAUCAGGAAGAACACCCGUGGCUAAGGCGGCUCUCUAGUACGGUACUGACGCUGAGACGCGAAAGCGUGGGGAGCGAACAGG